rnacentral:misc_RNA from 1 species
UCCGGUUUGACACUCUCAGUAACGAAGCUAACGCGUGAAGUCGACCGCCUGGGGAGUACGGCCGCAAGGUUAAAACUCAAAGGAAUUGACGGGGACCCGCACAAGCGGUGGAUUAUGUGGAUUAAUUCGAUGCAACGCGAAAAACCUUACCUACCCUUGACAUGUCCUGGAGGCCCUCGAAAGUGGGCUGUGCCCGAAAGGGAACGGGAACACAGGUGCUGCAUGGCUGUCGUCAGCUCGUGUCGUGAGAUGUUGGGUUAAGUCCCGCAACGAGCGCAACCCUUAUGUCCUGUUGCCACUCAAACGAGAGUUUGGAGCACUCUGGACAGACUGCCUCGCUCAAACGAGGAGGAAGGUGGGGAUGACGUGUAACCGAAUCU